rnacentral:rRNA from 1 species
CCUACGGGUGGCAGCAGUGAGGAAUAUUGGUCAAUGGACGAGAGUCUGAACCAGCCAAGUAGCGUGAAGGAUGACUGCCCUAUGGGUUGUAAACUUCUUUUAUAAAGGAAUAAAACGAGGCACGUGUGCCUUUUUGCAUGUACUUUAUGAUUAAGGAUCGGCUAACUCCGUCCCAGCAGCCGAGGUACGACGGAGGAUCCGAGAGUUAUCCGGAUAUAUUGGGUUUAACGGGAGCGUAGAUGGGUUGUUAAGUCAGUUGUGAAAGUUUGCGGCUCAACCCUAAAAUUGCAAUUGAUACUGGCAGUCUUGAGUACAGUUGAGGUAGGCGGAAUGCGUGGUGUAGCGGUGAAAUGCUUAGAUAUCACGAAGAACCCCGAUUGCGAAGGCAGCUUACUAAGCUGUGACUGACACUGAGGCUCGAAAGUGUGGGUAUCAAACAGGAUUAGAUACCCGAGUAGUC